ACCCAAAAUGAGAAAAGGUUCAUCAUUACUACUUUUUAUUCCAAUUAAAAAAAAAUAACAGUUCCAUUGAUUUAUAAUUAACAUAAAACUCACCCUUUUAAAGUGUACCAGUCAUUUUUAGUAUAUUCACAGAGUUGUGCAACCAUUAUUAUUACCUAAUUCCAGAACAUUUUCAUCAUCCCCAGAAGAAACCUGACAUACAUUGGCAGUCACUUGCCAUUUCCCCCACUAACCCUCAGCCUCUGGAAACAAUCAAUCUAUGGAUUCGUAUACUCUGGACAUUUCAUAUAAAUGGAAUCAUAUGUGGUCUUUUUGUGUUUUGCUUUUUUCACUUAGCAUAACAUUCUCAAGAUGCAUCUAUGUUGUAGCAUUUGUCGGUCCUUCAUUCUUUUUAAUGGCUGAAUAAUAUUCCAUUGUAGAGAUACACCACUUUUAUGUAUCCAUUCUUGAUCAGCAUUUGAGUGCUUCCACUUUUUGGCUAUUAUGAAUAAUGCUGCUAUGGAUAUUCAUGUACGAGUUCUCAUGUUGACAUGUGUAAUCAAUUCUUUUAGCCUUAUACCUAAGAGGGGAAUUGCUGGGUCAUAUGAUAACCCGAUGUUUAACAUUUUUAAGGGACUCUCAAACUACUUUCCAAAAGGACUUUACUAUUUUACAUUCCUACCUGCAAUAUACAAGAGUUCCAAUUUCUCCACAUCCUCACCAAUACUUUCAACUGUCCAUCUUUCUAAUUAUAGCCAUCCUAGUGUGUGUAAAGUGAUUAUCUCACUGUGAUUUUGAUUUGUAUUUCCCUAACAGCUAGUGAUGCUGAGCAACUUUUCAUGUUAUUGACCACUGUAUAUAUUUGGAGAAAUGUCUUUCAGAACAAUUAAGAUGAUGAAGUUUUGAAAGAGGGAAGAUGGAAUAGCACAGCCAAAGGACUCUCAUAAUAUAUGGUGGAGCCGUUAUCUACAAAAUUCAACCCAAAGAUUUAAAGAUGGAAAUACAUAUUCUCAAUUUUAUGUAUAACGAAUGUAAUUUCUAUUGCUUUGGUAGAUUUAACGUCUUGAAGGAGGAAAAAACAACAACCCUAGCUUCAUAAAUGAUCUAAUCUAGGAUAGAUGAGACUGGGAACGAAGAAAACCAAAGAGGAAAUCUAAGGAAAACCCAUUAUUUAUUUAUUUUUUGCUCAUUUGGGGAGAGAUUGAAUAUGUCUUAAUUUAGGAUUACAUAAAUAAGUAUUUUAAAUCACAUGGUCACCCAUCACAUGACAAACAUGCCUGACUUCAGUAUUUCACUAAAGACUGAGUAGGAAGAGAUAGUGGCAAUCAUUUUACCAAUUUAUAGGAAAGGCAUAAAUAAAAAUUUAAAUAGCACUUAGAGGCUGAGUAAUUCAUUACUGUCUUUUAGUUUCCUAUUUCAGUUUAGAAAUGAAGCUAUCAUCUCCCUGUCCUCGACAAGGAGUUACAAAUUUAAAAGGAAAACAAUGUUACAAGAAUGGACUAAAGUAUCAAAGGAAUGUAUCAAAGAUACAAAUUCCAGCUCUGCCACUUAUUAACUAUGUGACCUUGCACAGGUCAUGAAGUUUUCUCACCUCUACAAUGACAAUAAAAAUACUCACCUUAUUUAUCUUACAGGGUUGUUGUAAAAAUAAAAACAAUAUGAAAAGUAAUUUGGGUAUUUACAAAGUGGCAUACAAACAGAUAAGAAAAUAUAGGUACAAACUGACUUGGAACCUUUGUAAAUGUAGGUUAUCUUAUAGUUUCUUACUAUGCUGUAGUCCACCCAGCUCAACAAUAACAAGAAACAAUAGGUUCUGUUGAGGUUCAAUUUGUGAGACAUUUUACAAGCGUUUUCAGGAACACCAGUUCUAUGAGAUGCUCAAGGCAAAUAAAAGAGGUUAAGAAUGUUAUUUAAGAAUGUCACAUGUUACUCUGGUAGACUGAAUGUCUUUGUAUUUGAAGGAGGAAAAUAAAAAAGGGCUGAGAACCACUCCUGAGCUAUACUUCCCCUGAAGAUUCACAACACAUCCUAGCACACAAAAAUCCUACAGUGAAGAAAUCUGUUUUAACUCUGCUAAUAUUCAGAAAUGCAAAAUAAAACAUACAUGCAGCUUAUUAAAAAUCAACCUAAGAGAAGAAUAAAUUAUUAUUAAAGAAAAAAGGAACAACUGCCUCCAUAUUUCUGAAAUUUAGCAGAAAAUCUACAGGAAUGUUUAGUGAUGCCUGUGGUACUCCCAGGGCACUCAUAUCCCGUGACACUUCAUCAUAUUUCACCUUUUAUACUUAUUAAUGGUCUGACUAAAUUGUAAUCUAUAAGGGCAAGAACCAUGUCGUUGUACUUUGCCUUCUAAAAUGCCCACUAUGGAGCACUGUUCAAUAAAUAUUUCUUAAAUUAAAACCAUCUGCUACUAACUGCCCAAAACCCAUGCCAAUUUAUACAGUAUACCUUUCAAAACUAAUGAUAGAUGGGGAAGGCAGUAUAGCACAAAGAAGACAAGUAGUGACUCUAUAGCAUCUUACUACCCUAAUGGACAAUGACUAUAAUGGGGUAUGUGGUGGGGACUUGAUAAUGGAGGGGAUCUAGUAAUCACAAUGUUGCUCAUGUGAUUGUAUAUGAUAUAAAAAACAAAAAACCAA